CGCCUCUCCCCUCCUCUCCUCUUAUACUUGCACGGGCAACUCGCCUCCUCCCUCCCCGCAGAGACCCCUCGAUCGAGCCAAACAAAAGCCAAGAAGAAUCCAGCCGGCCGUGUCGCGCCGAGCCAACAAGCACACGCGCCUCGCCCUCCCCAGCGCACACCAACCACAGCCUCCUCCUCGCCGCCAUGCAGCAGCAGCCGCGCCGCCGCGCCUCCCCGGCCGCGUCGCUCUGACGUGCGGCGCCGUCGUCCGUCCUCUCGACCGUGCUGCCAUCUGUCCGAUCGAUCGAUCCAUGGGGGUUCACCUGCAGCUGCUGAAGAAGCAGCCCUCGUCGGCGUCGCUGGAGGGCUCGAGGAGCGGGGGGUCGUCGCCGCCGAUGCCGCCCAAGGGGUGCAUGGCGGUGCGCGUGGUGGGGCCUGGCGGCGGGGAGGAGGAAGAGGAGGAGCGGUUCGUGGUGCCGGUGGGGUACCUGAAGCACCCGCUGUUCGUGGCGCUGCUCAAGGCAGCGGAGGACGAGUACGGCUUCGAGCAGAAGGGCGCCAUCACCAUCCCCUGCGGCGUCGACCACUUCCGCCACGUCCAGGGCAUCAUCCAACACCAGAAGCACCACCACCACAUCUCAUCCGGCUUCGUCUCCGGCGACGGCGGCCACCAUGGCCACCACAACAACCACCACCACUUCCACAUCGCGGGGUGCUUCCGCGCCUGAUGCGAUGCGGGGAUGCGGGGUUCGAGAUCUCCAGCGGAUGCAUGGAUCCAAAAACAAUAAUAUAUAGUACCUAUUUUAUUUAGGUUUUUUUGUCUUGAUUAUUAGGACUUUUUAGAUGCAGGCAUGCCGCAGAUCGUAUGAUCGAAGGAUCGUGGUUGGUUGCUUGAGUUAUUAGCGUAAUCGUGGAUCUGCAGGUUUGGACAUAUGGAUGGAUGGGUCGAUCGAUCAUUAGAGUUAGUUUUUCUCUAGGUUUCUUAUGAUGAUGAUGAAAAGGAAAUCAAAGAAUCGUUCAUGUUUCAGUGUUUAUAGACUUUAUGCUCUGCCCUCUCUUUAUUUCCCUUUCUCUUUCUCUUGUAUUCUAGUUCUUGUUUCUCUUUUGUGAUCGAAUGCUAGGUGCUACCAGUUGUUGUUGGCAUAUAUCUUUCGAGAUUAAUUUCUGAGA